AGCGCAGGCGGUUUGUCAAGUCAGAUGUGAAAGCCCACGGCUCAACCGUGGAAGUGCAUUUGAAACUGGCAGACUUGAGUAUCAGAGGGGAAAGUGGAAUUCCCGGUGUAGAGGUGAAAUUCGUAGAUAUCGGGAGGAAUACCGGUGGCGAAGGCGACUUUCUGGCUGAAUACUGACGCUGAGGCUCGAAAGCGUGGGGAGCAAACAG
rnacentral:rRNA from 1 species